UACAUUGGCUCAGUCAGUAGAACAUGGGACUCUGAAUUUCAGGGUUGUGGGUAUGAGCCCCACGCUGGGCAAAA